GGAGACAGAAGUAGACGGAGGAGGCUCCUCCUCCUCCGCGGAUCCAUCGCUUCCUCCUUUUCUCUUGGAAAGCACGUCCUGGAGAUUCGAGACGAGCGCGGCCGACAAGCCGUUGUUCUUCGAGGUCAUCGUGUCGAAAGAGAGAACACGCAGAUGAGGUGGGUCCUGUCUUGAAGACGAAGAAGAAAGUUGGGAGAGGGAGAGAGAGCGGGUCUAACGGAGGAAAGAGAGAAGCUUUAAUUGGCAGAGAGAGAGAGAGAUUACCUGUGUCAACUGUUAUCUCUUUUUAGAUAGACAAGAGGAAGAACAGUGACCCGCUAUUUUUUUUCCAAACAGAAAACAUAAAUAUUAAUAAGUAUACAAUUUAAGUUAAUAAAAUAUUUAGCCAUAUAAAUACAUAAACCUCAUAAUUAAAAUAAAUUAUUUGGAAUAGUAUUUUUUACAAGUUAAUAUAAAAUUAUUCUUACUCGUAAACUCUUACUUAUGCAUAUAAAGACCUGGACCUUGAAAUUAAAAUAAAUUUAAUUUUUUUUUUCUGGUUAGGGUCAAAAGAAUGUAACAUGUUAUGAAUGGUCCACAUCUAAUAAUUACUCAGUUAUUAUGACAUGCAUUUAAAGAUAUUUGUGGAAAAUAAUUUGAACCGACAACAUCAUAGUAUCAUGUUGGUUGAUAAUUAAAACUGUUAAUUGUUGCUAGAUCAUAUGCUACUGGAAUUUUUUUUUUUUAUAUCAAAAUAGCCUUUUGAUUUAAUUAGUUUUAGUUGCACUAUGUUAUUUAUGCUUUAUUACUGAAUUGGGUACAAAUAAGCUGGUCUGAUAUUGACUGAAUCUUAGUGCAGCCGUCAACCCAAAGCUCAAGCCACUGGUAUCUGCCCAGACCUGGUUCAACAUGAGAAGUUUCCAACAAUGACUGGAGACUCAUACAGCCAGAGAGUUUGAUAGUCUCCAACAGAACUAGUUCCGGAAACGCUUUAAGUCUUCUGCAGUUACAAAGGCUGACGUGUUUCAGCCUCAGAAGUUGAUUCAUGGUCUCUGGUAAAGUCUCGAAAUCGUUGCCGUUCCAGUCCAGCUUCUCUAGGAGUUGUAAGGAGCUUACAUCAUCUGGGAUCACUUUAAUGUUUAAGUUGAAUAGAUUUAACUCUUUCAAGCAGGGGAACAUGUAAAGGCUAUGACAGAGGAAACUUGCAGCAGCAGCAUCACUCUUGUAGUUGAACCUGGUGAUCUCCAUGGCAUUAAAACCGUGGAACUCUGACCUAUUGGGUCGAUGCCUCUGCUGCUCUACUUUCUUUGUCCUCCGUUUAUGAUCGUAAAACAGAAGUGGUUGCUGGUCCAUCCUUAUCAGUACAUGAGGUGCUUGUUUCUCAGAACUAAAACAAAGGUGAUCCACGUUGCCGGCAAGCCCCACCAUCUGAAUUUGUAUGUUUCCUCCAAUGGAUAGAUAUGUAGUGGACCUCAUUUCCACUUCAUUACUUGAGAAAUACAAAACAAUCUGCCAAGAACGCCCAGUGAAUUCCUUUAUGGUGAUGUGGUAGUUACUAGUAAGCUCAUCACAGUCUGUGACAUCAAGCAUUGUCAGGCUAGUAAGGUUACUAAUGGACUCUGAAUCCUCUUGAGCCUCUUGCAGCCUUGAGUUAUCACUUCUUCCAAAUUCACCGCAUGCGAAAGAUCUGGAAGCUGUUCAAGAUUCUUAGACCCUGUCAAGUCUAGUCUUCUCAAGUGUAGUAACCACUGGGGAUAAGAUAAACCAACAAGGAAUAAGCAAAUUGUUAGUUAACAUGUGGUAGUAAUCACUGCGCACUUAUGAAGAGCGUUUACCUUGGUUCCUUUCAUCAAGCUUGUGAGAUUGCUGUAACGUAAACUGACUUCGACAAGACCUAGUGGAAGGAACCGGGGAGGAAAGUCUGUCAAAGGAAACGCAUCCCAGUGUAGUAACCUAAGCCUCACCGAAAGUAAAUAUGUAUCGUCACUCAUGAAAUGCAGCAUGGGAUCAACGUGGUCUGAGAGCCUGUGAACCUUGAGGAACUUGAGAUUAUUGUGGUCGUUUUUCGCAUACCCAUCGAGAUACAACUCUUCUGGCAUCUCGCACAUGUGUAGAGCCAUGCAUGCCACUGAUUGGUUGUCCUGUGGUGUUGACACUGAGAAAGUUAAGUUUGCAUUUAUACAACAGCAACAUAUGUUACAGAUGCUGUAGACUAGGCCUGCGGUUUAUAACCGAGCUCGCCGAACCAAAGGUAGGUUUAUUAAAAAAAAAUCUGGUUUUCGGUUCGGUAAUAAAUUAGUUCGGUUUUUCGAAAACUACUCGGUUCCUUCUUAUGUGGUAACUGGUAAGGACGAAGAGACUUGGGCUCGAUGCAUCACAAGGUAAUGAUGGUAUCCAAGAGGUGUGUAGCUACGUAGAAGCAUCUGAAUACCUUCAAAUUAAAUCAAAGCGAUACAUAGUAGCAGAUGAAGGAGAGUAUUCACCUUCAUAUCACAUGUUGCUUUGACAACAUCUCCAUAGCCCUCAAAGCGAUGCUUACAUAAGUAUUGUUCAGCGUUCAAUAAAACUAACAAGCAAAGACUUAUUGUCCCUAUGAUUAUGUAAAGAUUUGAUGGAAGCUAUGAAAAAAAGGUGGGUCACACUUGUAGGAUAUUGAAAAAUAAAUUCAAUGCAAUAUCAACAUGUUUCACAUUGGAAACCUCCCUACCUCCUUUAUUAAGCAAAACUCAAAGAUAGCUCUCUUCAUAUAUCUGAUCAAUAACAACAUGCUUCACAUUAGAAAUCUCACUACCUCCUUUAUGAGGCAAAACUCAAAGAUAGCUCAUGAUACAUAUCUCAGCUGAAGCAAUAGUGUCAUCCAGGGGAUCUGGGACCGUUCUUCUCGAUCAAAAGGUAUACAAAAACAAAGUUUCUACGAAUUUAGAAGAUAAUAAAAGUAGACCGACCCUUUUCAAUUACAAAGGCAAGUGUUCCAAAACAGCUACUGACAAACAAACAAGCCAACAGAAGCAAGCCACGAGGGAAAUCGAAUAAAUAGAAUAAACAAAAGGGUUAAAACGACACACACAUGCUGAAUCUAGUUACCAGAUUUGUUUGGCCAAAUCAUGUAACAUAAUUUACUAGAAGGACCUUUUUCAUUGAUCAGCAUUAAGGGCUUUGGAGAUCCAUUCUGAUGCUGCGGCUUGAGUUUCUGAAUCCAUCUUUGGAAGUAGCGACAAUGGAGUCACAGAAACCUGUCAUUACAAAAAAGAGUUCAGUAAAGUAGCUUAGAUUCCAGACCAGAGAAGAGCGUGUGAUCAUGCCAACUUACAAAACCAUCUUCUAGAGCCUUGAUAUCCAAAUCUUCAUCCGUAUGCUCUUCUUGUUCUUUACCCACAAACUGCAUAUUAACAUAGUCAGGACUCAGGAUCUCAAACACAAUGGUACAUACUAUCAAUAUCCAAAGGAUUUGUGAAGAGAACGUCUCAAAGUUCUUCUUUACCUCUAGGCGGAAGUAUUUCUUAACACGGCUAUCAGUUUUAGCAGCAACACCAACCGAUUCAAUCUCCACAAUACUCUUCUUCUGUGUGGUGAAACGACGAGCCGCUCCCUGAGAUCACCAGAUAUCUUAAUCUCAGUAUCUAAUUAACUACUUUUGGACCUUGUGAAAACAAAGUUGAGGUUUAUAACUUUUGAAUAGAAGGAAUUAACUCACAGCAGCUGAAGCAUCUCUGCCAAGCUGAGCAAGUUGAGCUCCUAGGCUUUGUUGGUUGGACAUGAAAUUCCCAGCACCAGGGUGACGGUUAGCUGAAACAGCUUGCCAGCUAGGAGUCUGCCUCCACAUGCUUUGUUUUGUUACCUUAAAACCCUAUUCAUAUAUGUACAUGAAACAUCAACUUCCCUAAACCAUUAGCCAGUGAGGUUCUAAUUUCACAAAACAAAGAACAUGGUAACCAAUGCAAGCAUAGAACUCGAACCAACAACCCGUUUCUGAGUCGAAAAUGCAAACCUUGUUUGAUGAGGGGGAUGUUGGAAUUUCUAUUCCGAGAGAGCAAUCUUUAGGGAAAACUCCUUUCUCAAUGUCUCUAAUUGUGGCGGUUAUCAAAGGUAAACAGACACCAACAGCAUCCUUAAAGUCACUUUCUUUGCUUUCAUCUUUCUUCCUGUAAUAAUAGAUAAGAAAAUAAGAAGUAUGACCAAAACGUCCCAUGAUAAAUAAUCACUAGUUCUAUGACAUAUAUCAGCACGCAUUCCCAUGAUAUACGCACCAGUUCAAUGAUAAACACAAAGAGGGUACUCCAGAAAUCAAGGCUUCCCUGGCUCCAGCCACUCCACCGGAAUAGAACCUGAAAGAUUCUCGCAUCAGGAAACACAAAGCAGAUGGACAGACAAGGAAUAACUAGUUAAGAAAAAAAGCACAUACAUUUGAUGCCCACAGCUUGAGCCCUGAUUGAUUCCACUAAUUAUCUGAAGAAAAUAAGGAAAAGGAUGCAUAACAUUAGAAGAUACCAUAACAUCAUAUAUGAUGGGGAGAUGAUUAAAAAAAAUGCUAAACCAGUAUUGGUUUUGACCAAGCGAAAAGCGCUCCGGAUAAUCCUAAUGAGAUGCAGUCCACAGGAGUCCCUGAGACAAAAACAACAAUAAUCUCAAAGCCUAUGAACAGAGACGGUACUCACACCAUGAUGCAAAAGACUAUUCCAACAACCAACAAAAAGACUUCAACUUUCAGCUUAUAGAUGUAAUGAUCAUUCACCUGAAACUUCAAAGGCUGUGGCACCUUUGAUACCAGCGGAACUCGCAGCAAUGGUUUCUGCAGGAGUCAUAGAAUGAGAAGAAGCCGAUUUAUCCCUGCCACAUUCACAAGCCUUGUGGGUCACUAAAAGUUUGAAACUUUAACAAGAAAAAAUGAACAAAUCAUAAAACGAAAUCUUGCUCACGUUUGAGGAGCACAGACAUGGACAUUGUAGAGCCCUUCCUUAACCAAAGCCUCGACGAGAGAGACGAGCCCAAUCGAAUCAAUCCCAUCCCCAUUCGUGACUAAAACGAUGGGUCUGGAGUCAUCGAUCUCCUCCUUGGCCGCAACAUCGACGGAGACAGAAGUAGACGGAGGAGGCUCCUCCUCCUCCGCGGAUCCAUCGCUUCCUCCUUUUCUCUUGGAAAGCACGUCCUGGAGAUUCGAGACGAGCGCGGCCGACAAGCCGUUGUUCUUCGAGGUCAUCGUGUCGAAAGAGAGAGCACGCAGAUGAGGUGGGUCCUGUCUUGAAGACGAAGAAGAAAGUUGGGAGAGAGAGAGAGAGCGGGUCUAACGGAGGAAAGAGAGAAGCUUUAAUUGGCAGAGA
rnacentral:lncRNA from 1 species